UACGAAGGGGGCUAGCGUUGUUCGGAAUUACUGGGCGUAAAGCGAGUGUAGGCGGUCUAAAAAGUCGGGUGUGAAAGCCCCGGGCUCAACCCGGGAAGUGCACUCGAAACUGCUAGGCUAGAGUAUCGGAGAGGUUGGUGGAAUUCUCGGUGUAGAGGUGAAAUUCGUAGAUAUCGAGAGGAACACCGGUGGCGAAGGCGGCCAACUGGACGAAUACUGACGCUGAGACUCGAAAGCGUGGGGAGCAAACAGG
rnacentral:rRNA from 1 species